rnacentral:rRNA from 1 species
UACGUAGGUGGCAAGCGUUGUCCGGAUUUUAUUGGGUUUAAAGGGUGCGUAGGCGGUUCUAUAAGUCAGUGGUGAAAUCCGGCAGCUCAACUGUCGAUGUGCCAUUGAUACUGCAGAACUUGAGUACAGACGAGGUAGGCGGAAUUGACGGUGUAGCGGUGAAAUGCUUAGAUAUCGUCAAGAACACCGAUAGCGAAGGCAGCUUACUAGGCUGUAACUGACGCUGAUGCACGAAAAGUGUGGGGAUCAAACAGG